AUGGCUAGAGCUUCAAACCCAUCAUAUACAUGGGACUCGGUAUGGAACUUAGUUUGCCCAGCAAAGAUAAAAAUAUGUAUGUGGCGCACGCUCCAGAGUGCUAUUCGCUAUCGAUCUAUCUUGGCUAAUAAGCACUUGAAAAUAAAUCUGAAUUGCCCACCCUGAAACCAGGGGCCUGAUGAGAUAAGACAUAUUUUGUUCGAAUGCAAAUUGGCAAUGGACGUGUGGAAGAUGCUCGGUCUUGAGCUUGUUAUCAAACAUGCACUGAAAGUUGACAAAAUAGGUGAGCUUGUGUUGGCACAUCUUUUGUGCCUUCGAGAACAACAAAUCCAAGUGUUGGGCUUGCUGAAGUUCAGAGAAACGAUGGCAACGACGACUUGGUAUUUGUGGUAUGAAGGCGAAAACUGA
rnacentral:rRNA from 1 species